UAAUCUGAUCCCGCCCCUCAUAGUUCCGCCCCUGGCCUGAAGCAAAUUCAACACGACGCGAAAAUGAAGUGAAACACUCGGUCGUUCUGAGAGGGCGGAGUGGUGGAGGCAGAAUCUUGCAGGAAAGAGGAAGAAGAAGCCUGAUAUAUAAAGAGCGCGGGAGAGAGUCCCCGCGCGCGCGAGAGCGCGUGAGACGCCUCACAAAAAUCCGCAGGUGGAUCAUUGGAGCUUCGUGUGUCUUCACAAUGGCAGACAGAGUUCUACUGUCGUUGGUGGCUGGUGUGUUUAUUUUGAGCAUCUCCAAUGCAGAAUCUCGAACUCCAAUCAUGGACCUGACCUUGCCAGACCCAUACACAACAGUCAACACUCAAAAUGUUUUCAGUCCACCGGUGGGAAACACAACCCAGGAUAAAAAUGCAACUUUCACUCACAGAAUGAAUGAAACCAUGGAAGGAAACAACACGACGUUGGUUAGUUGUACAGCUUGCACUAAAACGGCAGAGACAAAUGUCACAAAUGGUAACUUCUCUUCUGAGAAUUCCACCACUGAAGUAUAUGCAACUACUGCGAAUUACACUGUUACACCAACAUCCUCAAAUACUUCAAAUCCAACAGCGAUAUUUACUUCAACGAUGAGCAGUACAACACAGCAAGUCACCACAGUGAGCAUCUCGUCUUUGCCAAUGGUUGUACAUACGUCUCCCAUCACCACCACCACCACCACCACCACCACCACCACCACCGCAUCACGGACAACUACACCACAGAAAGCAAAGAUGAUCACUUCCAAACCGGGACCACCAGUUAUGACCCCAAAGGCUUCCGGCCAUGCUGCAGGUGUUGUUCUGAGCAUCGUGCUGGCAUUCACGUUUGCAGUUUUGCUUGUAAUCAUCAUCCGCCGACGACUCAACAUCCGCAGACAAUUCCAACAUCAGCGGUUGGAAGAUAUGGAGGAAGAUCUGUAGCUGGAGUGGAGAACACAGAUGCAAUGAGUGGGCAGGUGCCCAUCAUUUUGGCUGCUUUAUGCUCCCAAGUUUGUUUCUUGCACAUUUAUAUAGGCUUUCAAUUUCCUUAUGAUCUGCACUCUUUUUACCAUUGGGGUUCAUUCCAAAACUCCUUCAUUCGGCUGUGCUUUAUACUGCUUUGCAAGAAAAUCUGUCGAUGAAGGUGCUUCAUGUGAUUUGUUAUUUAACCGAAUGCACUGUCUUCACCAGCCUUUGCACUGUAUCCUGUGGCCUGUGGCUAGUUGCUAUUGUAAUUAGACUUUUCAUUGUUAUCGUUUUUAAUUUACAUCCUCACCUCAGGGGUUAGUUUUAUGGAAAGAAAGAGGCUUAUAAAUAAAACUUGGAAAAUUGUUGUCGGUGGUUUUGUCCACUUUUUGAGGAUGCAAAGGUAAACAAAGUUAAAAUAUAACCAUGAGCAUACUUAAUAUUGAUUGUUAACAAUAUUGUUUUAGCUUUUUUAUCUAUUUAUUUUUCCACACUUUUCUGUUGAAUUGAGUUGAGUAGCAAGUGCAUUGGCAUUUUGAUAAAUGAAACAAGUGAUCCCAAGUUUAUAUAGAUGACAAGAUGAGUGACCCAAUCAAACCUUGGUUUCUUAGACUUCAGUAAAGCAUCGAGAAGAUUGUUGUUAGCUUGGAUUAAAUUAUAAAUAAGCAAUGUCAUAAAUACAAGAACAUGGUGGAAAGGAGGGGAGCACACCGGGUAGAGUGAUACAACAGAGGGAACUUGGUGCAAGAAUGGGUGAUGGGGAGAAAUAUCCGGGGGGGGAAGGGACGUCUGAGCCCAGAAAUCAUACACGUAUAACAAAAAUUAACUCAGGAGUGCAACAUUGCAAUGAUGGGCCAAAUGUCCUAAUUUUUUGUUUAAAUUUGUACAGGAUUGUGUGACCACGAGUUAGACUCUGUCGUCCAAUGGAGACAGAGUGAGGACCCUUUGUAUGGAGGCUCUUCAUAUAAUAAUUUCCUUCUGCAUGUAGAAAAUAUAUUUGAAUGCAAUAGGUUUGAUUUCUGAUCAAGAAGAUUGAUGUUUAGAGGUGUAGCAAAAAUUAACUCUGGACGGCAACAUGGGAGGAUCAAACAAACCAGCUGCGGUAUCUUGGUUACUGAUGCUGGCCUGCCACUGAUGCCCUAGCUCUGGUUGUGCACUGUACGCUUGUGCUCAAAAUGUUUCACAAUAAAUUGAAUGGUGCAAUCUGUGGGUCCAUCACGUGUUCUGAGAUGGUAUUCCGGCAGAACCUCCAGCCGGUGUCUACAUAUGAUUUAGUCUCAUACCACAGAGCCACCACUUCUGUCUUCUGCUUCACUGUCAAUGGCAUAGAUGAGCUAUGGAGCUAGAAAUCCCAGGGAACAAAUCCCAUGACAACACCACCAAACCUUGAAAAGAAAAACGGUAUAGGUGAAAAAACAAAAAAGUGGUAGGAAGUAAAAUCAUUUGCAGAGGAAUUCA
ensembl:lincRNA